rnacentral:tRNA from 2 species
CGUGUCGUGGCCGGGCAGGCCGGACUCCUCCCGUGAGUCCGGCCUGCCCGGCGCCUGACGGUCGCUCGUCCAGCGCCAC